rnacentral:rRNA from 1 species
UACGGAGGAUCCGAGCGUUAUCCGGAUUUAUUGGGUUUAAAGGGAGCGUAGGUGGAUUGUUAAGUCAGUUGUGAAAGUUUGCGGCUCAACCGUAAAAUUGCAGUUGAAACUGGCAGUCUUGAGUACAGUAGAGGUGGGCGGAAUUCGUGGUGUAGCGGUGAAAUGCUUAGAUAUCACGAAGAACUCCGAUUGCGAAGGCAGCUCACUAGACUGUUACUGACACUGAUGCUCGAAAGUGUGGGUAUCAAACAGGAUUAGAUACCCUGGUAGUCCACACAGUAAACGAUGAAUACUCGCUGUUUGCGAUAUACAGUAAGCGGCCAAGCGAAAGCAUUAAGUAUUCCACCUGGGGAGUACGCCGGCAACGGUGAAACUCAAAGGAAUUGACGGGGGCCCGCACAAGCGGAGGAACAUGUGGUUUAAUUCGAUGAUACGCGAGGAACCUUACCCGGGCUUAAAUUGCAAAUGAAUAUGUAGGAAACUAUAUAGCCGCAAGGCAUUUGUGAAGGUGCUGCAUGGUU